UACGAAGGGGGCUAGCGUUGCUCGGAAUCACUGGGCGUAAAGCGCACGUAGGCGGACUCUUAAGUCGGUGGUGAAAUCCUGGAGCUCAACUCCAGAACUGCCUCCGAUACUGGGAGUCUUGAGUCCGGGGGAGGUGAGUGGAACUGCGAGUGUAGAGGUGAAAUUCGUAGAUAUUCGCAAGAACACCAGUGGCGAAGGCGGCUCACUGGCCCGGUACUGACGCUGAGGUGCGAAAGCGUGGGGAGCAAACAGG
rnacentral:rRNA from 1 species